AGCGGAGGAAAAGAAACCAACAGGGAUUGCCCUAGUAACGGCGAGCGAAGCGGCAACAGCUCAAAUUUGAAAUCUGGCUAUUUUGUAGUCCGAGUUGUAAUUUGUAGAGGAUGCUUUUGGUGAGGUGCCUUCCGAGUUCCCUGGAACGGGACGCCAGAGAGGGUGAGAGCCCCGUACGGUUGGAUACCAAACCUUUGUAUAGCUCCUUCGACGAGUCGAGUAGUUUGGGAAUGCUGCUCUAAAUGGGAGGUAUAUCUCUUCUAAAGCUAAAUAUAGGCUAGAGACCGAUAGCGCACAAGUAGAGUGAUCGAAAGAUGAAAAGCACUUUGAAAAGAGAGUUAAACAGCACGUGAAAUUGUUGAAAGGGAAGCGCCUAUGACCAGACUUGUUUCUUUCAGUUUUGUUAGUUUUCGGACUGAUUUACUCUGUUAGUACAGGCCAGCAUCAGUUUGUUGUCAGGGAGAAAGGCUUAGGGAAUGUGGCUCUUUCGGGAGUGUUAUAGCCCUUUGCAUAAUACCUUUCGGCAGACUGAGGACCGCGCUUCGGCAAGGAUGCUGGCGUAAUGGUCAUCAGCGACCCGUCUUGAAACACGGACCAAGGAGUCAACCUUAUGUGCGAGUGUUUGGGUGUAAAACCCCAGCGCGUAAUGAACGUGAACGUAGGUGAGAGCUUCGGCGCAUCAUCGACCGAUUCUGAUGUUCUCGGAUGGAUUUGAGUAAGAGCACACAGGGUUGGACCCGAAAGAAGGUGAACUAUGCUUGUAUAGGGUGAAGCCAGAGGAAACUCUGGUGGAGGCUCGCAGCGGUUCUGACGUGCAAAUCGAUCGUCAAAUAUGAGC
rnacentral:rRNA from 1 species